AUGGUGGCGGUCUCGGAGGCGGCAUCGGCCAUGGGCUCGGUGGUGGCAUCGGAAAUGGCGGUGGUCUCGGCGGUGGCUUUGGCAAAGGUGGUGGACUAGGCGGCGGCGGAGGCGGCGGAGGAGGUGGUGGUGGUGGUGGCGGCGGUUUUGGCGAAGGCUUUGGCAAGGGAGGUGGGUUCGGUUUCGGGAUCGGCAAAGGUGGCGGUGGCGGCAUCGGCGGCGGCCACUGAUGUUGUAGUAUGUACGUUUGGCUCAGCUCUGUUCUGCGGAGCGCCGUUGGUCAUCAUAGUAUUCUGUCGAUGUGAGCAGUACGUGUGAUGAAAGAGAUUUUCCCUUGUAGAAACUCACUACUAGCAUUUUGUUGUGUCUCGUUCUGUUCUCUGUGGGAGAGAUAUUCUCGCGCAUGUACGUUGGUGAUGGUAAUAUAUGAGUAUCUUGUAUGCCUUGGUCCAUGCCAGUGUUUGCUCCAGUGAUUUGAAAUUUAAAUUAGGUACAAGUAAAUAAGAAGUGUUCAAACUUCAGAAGCUACCUGCUAGUGUUGAAAGUUCAGGAUGUUCAGAACAGAGCAAGCAUAGCAAAGCAGAGGAAGGGUAGGAAGGAACGACAUGCAGCAAUGCAAAAGCUUUCGGCAGCUGCUCAACCGGCUGACGGCCUGAAAUCUUUGCUCGCUUAGUGUCCAGACUCCAGAGCUCCAGAUUGUGUGUAGUUUGCACCUAAGAGUGGUCAACAUGUAAACAGUGCUUAAUCACUGUAAACCAAACUUGGGCACAUGUUCUUCGGUAUAAGUCUGGUUUACAUUAACUUUACUAAACACGACCCGGUUUGGUUUACUAAAUACGACCCGAG
rnacentral:lncRNA from 1 species